UUAUUAAUAUACAGUCUAUGAGAUGAAUGGAGAAAGAGCAACGGUCGUCCUGCUUCGCUGAUUUCUGUGUUAUAUUUCCAGAAGUUGGACUUACACGUAAACCGAAUCCCAUUGGCCAGUUACCUCUGACAUGGACAGGCCAACAGCUCUUCAAGUCUCUUUGAAGUCAGGUGACGGUCGCAUGUCAGAGUGUAGAAGACCUCAACGCCACCUCUCUUGGCAUAGCAGGUGAAUCUGUGACUCCCCUGCCUCAGGUACUUCACACAUCGUCCCAGACGAUCGUCACUCCAAACGUCGUCAUCCCAGACCUCAAUCACCAGACCCAGCCUUCAGUCCUGUUUUACGUGAACCGUUUGGCACCAGCUGGUACAAUGGUCUCAAGGAAUAACGAACAGCAUCAGGGCGAUCCUUCAGGCUUUUCAGCCAAGUUUGGUAGCCCUGGGAGUCUUUGUGGGUGAGA